ACCUCCUUAUUCCCCUGUGGGUUGGUGGAAAGAUUUUUCGAUCAGGUUCCCGCGGUCCUAUCACUUGUUGGUUGGGUAAUGGCCUCCCAAGGCGACGACGGGUAGCCGACCUGAGAGGGUGACCGGCCACACUGGAUUGAGACACGGCCCAAUCCUCGGAGCAGCAGUGGGGAAUAUUGCACAAUGGGCGAAACCUGAUGCAGCGACUCCGCGUGAGGGAUGACGCCUUCGGGUUGUAAACCUCUUUCAGCAGGGACGAAGCGCAAGUGACGGUACCUGCAGAAGAAGCACCGGCUAACUACGUGCCAGCAGCCGCGGUAAUACGUAGGGUGCAAGCGUUGUCCGGAAUUACUGGGCGUAAAGAGUUCGUAGGCGGUUUGUCGCGUCGUUUGUGAAAACCAGCAGCUCAACUGCUGGCUUGCAGGCGAUACGGGCAGACUUGAGUACUGCAGGGGAGACUGGAAUUCCUGGUGUAGCGGUGAAAUGCGCAGAUAUCAGGAGGAACACCGGUGGCGAAGGCGGGUCUCUGGGCAGUAACUGACGCUGAGGAACGAAAGCGUGGGUAGCGAACAGGAUUAGCUACCCUGGUAGUCCACGCCGUAAACGGUGGGCCUAUUGUGUGGGUUCCG
rnacentral:rRNA from 1 species